UGCAGGAAUUCAAGCAUCUUUGGCAUAUUUAGUUAUUCAAGAUUCUAUUAUUCGUUUACUUGAGGUCUUAGGCAAGCUUUGGAUUGUAAGAAUGGAUAAGGUCAUUAUGAUGUUUUUCAAAUGGUGUUAGUGAUAGGAGUAUCCUAGGCAUCGAAUGUGUCUGGGAAGUGAGAUCAUUCCAAAUGAUGGGAAAUUGGAAAAUAAAUUGUCCCAAAAUGUGCACAAUUUGACUUUGAGACAAGCAAAGGCCUUAAGUUAUAUGUCAACCAUCCUUGUGCUACUGGUUGAAGUUUUGUUGUCUGCUCUUUUAGUCUUCCUUUCCUUAACCCGUUCAUGGUGG
rnacentral:misc_RNA from 1 species